rnacentral:snRNA from 1 species
AUACUUACCUGGUGCCGGGGCCUCGUUGAUCACCGAGGAAGAGCCCCCAGGGCGAAGCGCGGGCAUUGCACUGCGUUCGCGCUGACCCCUGUCACUACCCUAAACUGUAACUACCCUAAACUGUCACUACCCUAAACUGCAUGCAAAUUGC